AGAGUUUGAUCCUGGCUCAGAACGAACGCUGGCGGCAGGCCUAACACAUGCAAGUCGAGCGCUUUAACCACUUCGGUGGAGCGAGAGCGGCGGACGGGUGAGUAACGCGUGGGAAUAUGCCCUUCACUGCGGAAUAGCCUCGGGAAACUGAGAGUAAUACCGCAUACGCCCUUCGGGGGAAAGAUUUAUCGGUGAAGGAUUAGCCCGCGUUGGAUUAGGUAGUUGGUGGGGUAAAAGCCUACCAAGCCGACGAUCCAUAGCUGGUUUGAGAGGAUGAUCAGCCACACUGGGACUGAGACACGGCCCAGACUCCUACGGGAGGCAGCAGUGGGGAAUCUUAGACAAUGGGGGAAACCCUGAUCUAGCCAUGCCGCGUGAGUGACGAAGGCCUUGGGGUCGUAAAGCUCUUUCGCCAGGGAAGAUAAUGACGGUACCUGGUAAAGAAACCCCGGCUAACUCCGUGCCAGCAGCCGCGGUAAUACGGAGGGGGUUAGCGUUGUUCGGAAUUACUGGGCGUAAAGCGCGCGUAGGCGGACUAUUAAGUUAGGGGUGAAAUCCCAGGGCUCAACCCUGGAACUGCCUCUAAUACUGGUAGUCUUGAGUUCGAGAGAGGUGAGUGGAAUUCCGAGUGUAGAGGUGAAAUUCGUAGAUAUUCGGAGGAACACCAGUGGCGAAGGCGGCUCACUGGCUCGAUACUGA
rnacentral:rRNA from 1 species